rnacentral:lncRNA from 1 species
UUCAGAGGUGAAAACUCAGGCUCAUAGAUGGAACACAGAAUCACCAUGGCUUAGGAGGGAAACACUUGUCUGGGAGCAAAGAAACCUGGAUCCUGUUCCUGGUUCUGUCCUCAGUGCCCAGGCUUUGUCCUCUCACGUUCCCUUAUCUGCAAGAGUUGCUAACCAGAUGGAUCCAUACGCCCAGCAGUUCAAACACCGGACGACCCCAGCAAGCCUGCUGUGCUCCUCCUGAGGAGGCCAGGAGGCUACUUGCAAGGUCCUGGAAGAUAAGGCCCGGCAACCCUGAAUCCUUGACCCUCACUCGGAAAUGUAUGGCCAUGAUCAUCUGCUCUUAGGAUGCGACCUACCACUGAUUGUGGCUUCUGUGACUUGCAUAUGCAGACAUUCAAGGACUAUUUUAAAGCCACGUUGAAUAUCUAAUCUGGCAGAGCAGAACAGCCCUUGUGGGGACAUGUGUGAUGGCUCUGAGAGUCGCAAUUGUUUUCUGCUCACACGUGAACCCAACAGAUGAGAAGGGUUUACCAAGGAGAUGACGCACCGUAUGUGUUAGGAAGAGUGCUUGAGGCAGACAGAUUAGAGAUGGCUGAGGUGCCACAUCCAAGUCUGCCACAGAUGCCGAAGUCAGGAAAGUGAGGGACAGAGGAUGGCUUUGUGACAUCCUUCAGGAUGGAAUGGACAGAGCUUUGUAACCAGGGGAGUAUAGGAGAAGAAAGAGCUGGGGACAACGUGAAGUUAGUGUGUUAAUGGUAGGAGGAAAGAGAUGUGGGGAAAGAGGGAAAGAGAGGUGUCAUCAGUCAGGGGACCAGAUGGAAAGAUGAGGUAAGACUCUCCCAGUGCAGAAACUACACCCAUUCGUGAAGCAGGUACCUCUAGCUACAGAAUUGUUCUUCGGAGCCAGUAGAGGACCACUGAUGCUGCUGGGAUGAUUUGCUCAUGGAAGCAUGCAAAGAAGCUUGGAUGCCUUCCCCGGUGACAGCCAGGGCGAGCCUCUUUAUACUUAUGGACCCGAGUAAAGAGACCUAAGGACAGUGUGAGAAGGUCACAGACUGACUUCCGAUUUAACA